UACGAAUGGGGCGAGCGUUGUUCGGAAUCACUGGGCGUAAAGCGUGCGCAGGCGGUCAUGAUAGUCAGGAGUGAAAUCCCAGGGCUUAACCCUGGAAUUGCUCUUGAAACUUCAUGACUGGAGUACUGGAGAGGUUGGCGGAAUUCCGAGUGUAGCAGUGAAAUGCGUAGAUAUUCGGAGGAACACCGAUGGCGUAGGCAGCCAACUGGACAGUUACUGACGCUCAUGCACGAAAGCGUGGGGAUCAAACAGG
rnacentral:rRNA from 1 species